rnacentral:misc_RNA from 1 species
GAAAUUUAUCCCAUAAAUGAAAUAAUUUCAUAUCUAUGAACCUUGUUAUUUGGUUUGAAUGCUUUCAAAUAUUAAUCAAAUGACAUACUUUCUCUUUCUUGUUCCCUUGUCACAAGUUGGAGAAGUCUUUAUAACAUUCACAUUUCAUUUUCCAACGGAUUACUUAAAUUUAUGCAACAAGAAAAUAACUAUCACCAAAUAAUAAAUAAAAAAAAUAUUUUCU